rnacentral:rRNA from 1 species
UACGAAGGGGGCUAGCGUUGCUCGGAAUCACUGGGCGUAAAGCGCACGUAGGCGAAUUGCUAAGUCAGGGGUGAAAUCCUGGAGCUCAACUCCAGAACUGCCUUUGAUACUGGCGAUCUUGAGUCCGGGAGAGGUGAGUGGAACUCCGAGUGUAGAGGUGAAAUUCGUAGAUAUUCGGAAGAACACCAGUGGCGAAGGCGGCUCACUGGCCCGGUACUGACGCUGAUGUGCGAAAGCGUGGGGAGCAAACAGG